UUGACCUCGGAUCAGGUAGGAAUACCCGCUGAACUUAAGCAUAUCAAUAAGGCGGAGGAAAG
rnacentral:rRNA from 1 species